UACGAAGGGGGCUAGCGUUGCUCGGAAUUACUGGGCGUAAAGGGCGCGUAGGCGGACAGUUUAGUCGGAGGUGAAAGCCCAGGGCUCAACCUUGGAAUUGCCUUUGAUACUGGCUGUCUUGAGUUCGGGAGAGGUGAGUGGAAUGCCGAGUGUAGAGGUGAAAUUCGUAGAUAUUCGGAAGAACACCAGUGGCGAAGGCGACACACUGGCCCGUUACUGACGCUGAGGCGCGAAAGCGUGGGGAGCAAACAGG
rnacentral:rRNA from 1 species